AGCGAACGCUGGCGGCAGGCUUAACACAUGCAAGUCGAGCGGGCACUUUCGGGUGUCAGCGGCGGACGGGUGAGUAACGCGUGGGAACGUGCCCUCUGGUUCGGAAUAACUCAGGGAAACUUGAGCUAAUACCGGAUACGCCCUUUUGGGGAAAGGCUUGCUGCCGGAGGAUCGGCCCGCGUCUGAUUAGCUAGUUGUUGAGGUAACGGCUCACCAAGGCGACGAUCAGUAGCUGGUCUGAGAGGAUGAUCAGCCACACUGGGACUGAGACACGGCCCAGACUCCUACGGGAGGCAGCAGUGGGGAAUAUUGGACAAUGGGCGCAAGCCUGAUCCAGCCAUGCCGCGUGAGUGAUGAAGGCCUUAGGGUUGUAAAGCUCUUUUAUCCGGGACGAUAAUGACGGUACCGGAGGAAUAAGCCCCGGCUAACUUCGUG
rnacentral:rRNA from 1 species